AAGUCGUAACAAGGUUUCCGUAGGUGAACCUGCGGAAGGAUCAUUAACGAGUUAGGGUCCCUCGUGGCCCGACCUCCCAACCCUUUGUCUACUUAACCACUGUUGCUUCGGCGUCAGCCUGUUUCUUACUAUUUAAGCAAAUCGAAAGGUUUGUUUAGACACUGUAUUUUUGCUGAAGGCAAACUCUUGCUUAGUGCUCUCCUUUCAUUGAGUGCUAUUGCAAGAACUAUUUUACCUAUUUCACCCCCUUUUUGCUAGUUGACUUUAAUAUGUUGUUCUUUACGCUUGCGUAAGGUUCACACGUUUAAUUAAUUGAACGUUAAAAAUACAACUCUUAGCAAUGGAUAUCUUGGUUCUC
rnacentral:misc_RNA from 1 species